rnacentral:tRNA from 1 species
AGGUAAUUAGUUUAAUUUAAACAUUUGAUUUCGGCUCAAAAAUUUAUGGUUAAAGUCCAUAAUUAACCUG